UUCUUUUAUUAAACAAAAACCAAUACAAAAUUAAAAACUAACUUCAUCAAAAACCAAGUCUCUAAGCAAUGGAUGUCUUGGCUCCUCACACGAUGAAGAACGUGGCAUAAUGUGUUAAGUAACCGGAGUUGCAAACAUCAUGACAGGUUAAUCUUUGAAUGCAAAUUGCGCUAAACUCGAUCUCGGUCGAGAAGCAUGGGUGUGACAGUACUACAUCUUUUAUAAUAAUUCUUAUUCUAAGCGAAUAAGUAAAUAAUAUAUAAGACAAACAACACGUAGUCUGCCAUACGCAGGAAGACCCGCUGAACUGAAGCAUCUCAUUAAGCGG
rnacentral:rRNA from 1 species